rnacentral:rRNA from 1 species
GACGGAGGAGGCAAGCGUUAUCCGGAAUGAUUGGGCGUAAAGCGUCCGCAGGUGGCUAUGUAAGUCUGCUGUUAAAGAGUCUAGCUCAACUAGAUAAAGGUGGUGGAAACUACAUAGCUAGAGUACGUUCGGGGCAGAGGGAAUUCCUGGUGUAGCGGUGAAAUGCGUAGAUAUCAGGAAGAACACCGGUGGCGAAAGCGCUCUGCUAGGCCGUAACUGACACUGAGGGACGAAAGCUAGGGGAGCGAAUGGG